AUUAUUUGGCAGUUAAGAAAAAAAACUUGUAAUGCAAACGGUGUGAUAUUUAAAAAAUCUCAUUGCAGGAGUGCCUGAAUGGUGAGUUUGUCAGGGUUGGUCCUAAUCCAAAGUUCACUCCUGUGGCUGGAUAUCACUGGUUUGAUGGAGAUGGCAUGAUUCAUGGUUUGCGCAUCAAGGACGGAAAAGCAACAUAUGUCUCCCGUUAUGUAAGGACGUCGCGUCUUAAACAAGAAGAGUUUU